CAGUAGCCACGGGAAUACAGAGGGUGCGAGCGUUAAUCGGAUUUACUGGGCGUAAAGGGUGCGUAGGCGGCCCCGCAAGUCUCAUGUGAAAUCUUCAGGCUCAACUUGAAGUCUGCAUGGGAAACUGCGGGGCUGGAGUAUGGGAGAGGUGAGUGGAAUUCCUGGUGUAGCGGUGAAAUGCGUAGAUAUCAGGAGGAACACCUGUGGCGAAAGCGGCUCACUGGACCAUAACUGACGCUGAGGCACGAAAGCUAGGGGAGCAAACAGGAUUAGAUACCCCCGUAGUCCCUGUCUCUUAUAA
rnacentral:rRNA from 1 species